GGUUCGUAUGAUGCAACUGGGAGGAUAGCUCUCGAAUUCUCUCAUCCUUUUCAUCCUGACAAGAUAACAAAAAUUGGUUUAGAACUUAGAUAGUAACAACUACCAGCAAUACCAAUACAAUCCAUGAACAACUAUUGCUGAUAAGACAAUGCGUAUAAGAAUAAAUGAGAGGUAUUUAGGACUUCAUAGAAUAAAUGAGAGGUAUAUUGGACUUAUAGCUUAGCAUUACUCUGAUACACAAUGUAUCAGCACUUGAUGUUUAGAAGCAUCUUGUUACAAUAAACAGGGAUGGAAGUGCAAACUUUUCUACAGUAAGCUUUAUUAAAAUCAUGCUAAACUGAAUUUUUUUUAAAAGGGGUCAAAAAAUGAAACCCUCUGAUAUAUUCAUGGUUUGAUGUCAGCUAAAUGAACAUAGCUCCUUAGAGCAAUUUUAGAGUCAAUAACUACGCCAAUCUUUAGAAUAUAUAUAGCGUUUAUUCGGCAACGCUUCAAGGUUUAACGACAACCACUGCCGAUUUCUAUUGGCCACCACAAGUACAAAUAUGUACAAGGGUAGUGAGGGUGCGUGCAUCACAAGGUAUGCAAGAAACACAGACGACACUGCAUUAACAAAAUUGAAGGAACUUACAGUUGUUGGUCGAACUUUUUUUUUGUUUUUAGUUUAACGUGGGUGUCCGGGCCAGCUUGCGCGCAUCUCGACUAAUUUCACGGGCCCUGAAGUUAAUGACCAUAUAAACCUUCAGUGGCCAUCAUAUGAGCAACCACAUGGCUCGAACCUGAGACCACAGAGAGAGCAAACUUCUUGGUUCCAAGUUAUUACCACUGUACCACCACCUAGAUAGUUAGUCGACUUUUUUU
rnacentral:lncRNA from 1 species